GGCCAAGUGAGCUUUUCUCAGCACUUGGCGUCCGGCGUCCGUCGUCCGUCGUCUGUCGUCCGUCGUCUGUCGUCCGUCGUCCGUCGUCGUCUGGCGUGGUUAACUUUUACAAAAAUCUUCUCCUCUAAAACUACGGGGCCAAAUUUAACCAAACUUGGCCACAAUCAUCAUUGGGGUAUCUAGUUUAAAAAAUGUGUCUGGUGACCCGGUCAACCAACCAAGAUGGCCGCCAUGGCUAAAAAUAGAACAUAGGGGUAAAAUGCAGUUUUUGGCUUAUAACUCAAAAAACCAAAGCAUUUAGAGCAAAUCUGACAUGGGGUAAAAUUGUUCAUCAGGUCAAGAUCUAUCUGCCCUGAAAUUUUCAGAUGAAUCGGACAACCCGUUGUUGGGUUGCUGCCCCUGAAUUGGUAAUUUUAAGGAAAUUUUACUGUUUUGGUUAUUAUCUUGAAUAUUAUUAUAGAUAGAGAUAAACUGUAAACAGCAAUAAUGUUCAGCAAAGUAAGAUUUACAAAUAAGUCAACCUGACCCAAAUGGUCAGUUGACCCCUUUAGGAGUUAUUGCCCUUUAUAGUCAAUUUUUAACCAUUUUUCGUAAAUCUUAGUUAUCUUUUAGAAAAAUCUUCUCCUCUGAAACUACUGGGCCAAAUUAAACCAAACUUGGCCACAAUCAUCAUUGGGGUAUCUAGUUUAAAAAAUGUGUCCGGUGACCCGGCCAACUAACCAAGAUGGCCACCACGGCUAAAAAUAGAACAUAGGGGUAAAAUGCAGUUUUUGGCUUAUAACUC
rnacentral:lncRNA from 1 species